GACAGAGGAUGCAAGCGUUAUCCGGAAUGAUUGGGCGUAAAGCGUCUGUAGGUGGCUUUUUAAGUCUGCCGUCAAAUCCCAGGGCUUAACCCUGGACAGGCGGUGGAAACUACCAAGCUGGAGUACGGUAGGGGCAGAGGGAAUUUCCGGUGGAGCGGUGAAAUGCGCAGAUAUCAGGAGGAACACCCGUAGCGAAGGCGGCACUCUGGGCCGAUACUGACACUGAGGAGCGAAAGCGUGGGGAGCGAACAGG
rnacentral:rRNA from 1 species